rnacentral:rRNA from 1 species
AGCAGCCGCGGUAACUCCAGCUCCAAUAGCGUAUAUUAAAGUUGUUGCAGUUAAAAAGCUCGUAGUUGAAUUUCGGGGUUAGUAGGUUGGUCAUGCCACUGGUAUGUACUGGUCUCACUGAUUCCUCCUUCCUGAUGAGACGUAAUGCCAUUAAUUUGGUGUUGCGAGGAAUCUGGACUGUUACUUUGAAAAAUUAGAGUGUUUAAAGCAGGCUAACGCUUGAAUACAUUAGCAUGGAAUAAUGAAAUAGGAUGUUCGAUCUUAUUUUGUUGGUUUCUAGGAUUGACGUAAUGAUUAAUAGGGAUAGUUGGGGGCAUUAGUAUUCAAUUGUCAGGGGUGAAAUUCUUGGAUUUAUUGAAGACUAACUACUGCGAAAGCAUUUGCCAAGGAUAUUUUCAUUAAUCAAGAACGAAAGUUAGGGGAUCGAAGACGAUCAGAUACCGUCGUAGUCUUAACCAUAAACUAUGCCGACUAGGGAUCGGAUGAUGUUAAUUUUUAAUGACCCAUUCGGCG